rnacentral:misc_RNA from 1 species
GAUGAAGAACGCAGCGAAAUGCGAUAAGUAAUGUGAAUUGCAGAAUUCAGUGAAUCAUCGAAUCUUUGAACGCAUCUUGCGCUCCUUGGUAUUCUGAGGAGCAUGCCUGUUUGAGUGUCAUUAAAUUCUCAACUACACUGACUUUGAAUUGGUGUGGCUUGGAUUGGGGGGAAAAUUGUUGUGGGCUUUUUGUAUAGUCUGCUCCCCUGAAAUUGAUUAGCGGUACCUUUGUGGAACUGUCUACAGGUGUGAUAAUUAUCUACAUCUUAGACAUCUGCUGGAAUGCUGCUUUCUAAACCUUACUUGUAUUGACAAUCUUGACCUCAAAUCAGGUAGGACUACCCGCUGAACUUAAGCAUAUCAAUAAGCGGAGGA